ACGGGUGAGUAAUACAUCGGAACGUGCCCUGUAGUGGGGGAUAACUAGUCGAAAGAUUAGCUAAUACCGCAUACGACCUGAGGGUGAAAGUGGGGGACCGCAAGGCCUCAUGCUAUAGGAGCGGCCGAUGUCUGAUUAGCUAGUUGGUGGGGUAAAGGCCCACCAAGGCGACGAUCAGUAGCUGGUCUGAGAGGACGAUCAGCCACACUGGGACUGAGACACGGCCCAGACUCCUACGGGAGGCAGCAGUGGGGAAUUUUGGACAAUGGGCGAAAGCCUGAUCCAGCAAUGCCGCGUGUGUGAAGAAGGCCUUCGGGUUGUAAAGCACUUUUGUCCGGAAAGAAAUGGCUCUGGUUAAUACCUGGGGUCGAUGACGGUACCGGAAGAAUAAGGACCGGCUAACUACGUGCCAGCAGCCGCGGUAAUACGUAGGGUCCAAGCGUUAAUCGGAAUUACUGGGCGUAAAGCGUGCGCAGGCGGUUGUGCAAGACCGAUGUGAAAUCCCCGAGCUUAACUUGGGAAUUGCAUUGGUGACUGCACGGCUAGAGUGUGUCAGAGGGGGGUAGAAUUCCACGU
rnacentral:rRNA from 1 species